GUUGUGUUAAGUUUUACUCCCCAGGUGUUCAUAUUAACAUACUCCAGAAAACAUAGUAGCUUGUUUGUGUUGCCUUCCCAAAUUAAGAAUAUGUCAUCUAUAUAUCUUUUGUAGUGGUAGAUAUUCUUUUUCCAGAGAUGCUCAUUCCAAAUGUGAUGGUCUUCCCAGUAUCCCAUGAAUAUGUUGGCAAAGCUGGGUGCAAAUUUUGUCCCCAUCGCUGUACCAGUCUUUUGUAAGUAGAACUUAUCGUCAUGCCAGAAAUAAUUGUUUUUGCAUAUAAAGGUUAUUGCUUCUAUUAUAAAUGAAAUUUGGGAGUCCUCUAGUUCUGCGUACUUCUUCAGAGAUCUUAAUGUUGAGUGGCAACCUUUCUCGUGAUUUAUAAUAGUAUAAAGUGAUGUGACGUCUGUGGAUACAAGAGUGUAGUUAUCUUGCCAUCUUACUGUUUCCAUUACUUUAUUAAUUUGCAUUGUGUCUUUCAGGUGCAAUUUCACUUUGGAUACAUAUGGUUGGAGGAACAAGUCUGUAACGAACCCUGGAGUGGUAGCUAGUGGUUCAUAUGGUUUGGUUCUUCAUUCGUCAGUUAAAUCCCAAAGAAACGAAAUCCUCUAGUUGCAGUUUUCCAAGUAUCAAUCAGGUACCACAACACCAGCCGAAACAUGAUGAAGGGUGUAACAAGAAUGGUGUUUAUUGAGACCGCACAGGAUUUUAUGGAGGUCCCCCUGCAAGAGGACCUCCAACAGUACACAAACAUAAUAACCAAUCACAUUGUGCAUUUACAAUAAAACACUCCUUCUCUCUGCCUGGGAGAUAAUUAGGCAAGCUAAGGGAUAACCCAAUUAU